rnacentral:rRNA from 1 species
GUGCCAGCCGCCGCGGUAAUACGGAGGGGGCCAGCGUUGUUCGGAAUCAUUGGGCGUAAAGGGCGCGUAGGCGGCCCGGCAAGUCAGACGUGAAAUCCCUCGGCUCAACCAAGGAACUGCGUUUGAAACUGCCGGGCUUGAGUCCCGGAGAGGGCAGUGGAAUUCCCAGUGUAGCGGUGAAAUGCGUAGAUACUGGGAGGAACACCGGUGGCGAAGGCGGCUGCCUGGACGGGUACUGACGCUGAGGCGCGAAAGCGUGGGGAGCAAACAGGAUUAGAUACCCGAGUAGUCC